rnacentral:tRNA from 1 species
GUCUUUGUGGUGUAAUGGUAGCACAUUCAGUGUGCAUUCGAGAAGUCCAGGGUUCGAAUCCCGGCGAGGGCA